UACAGAGGUGGCAAGCGUUGUUCGGAUUUAUUGGGUGUAAAGGGCAGGUAGGCGGCUUAGCAAGUCUGUUGUGAAAUCCCAGGGCUUAACCCUGGAAUUGCAAUGGAAACUACUAAGCUUGAGUUCCGCAGGGGUGAAGGGAAUUCUCGGUGUAAGGGUGAAAUCUGUAGAUAUCGAGAGGAAUACCUAUGGCGAAGGCACUUCACUGGGCGGAAACUGACGUUGAACUGCGAAAGCUAGGGGAGCAAACAGG
rnacentral:misc_RNA from 1 species